rnacentral:rRNA from 1 species
AGAAUCAACGCUGGCGGCGUGCCUCAGACAUGCAAGUCGAACGCGAAAGUUCCCUUCGGGGAAUGAUUAGAGUGGCGUCCGGGUGAGUAACACGUGGGUAAUCUACCUUCGGGUGGGGAAUAACAGUCGGAAACGACUGCUAAUACCGCAUAAUGCAGCGGCACCUAAUGGUGACAGUUGUUAAAGCGGGGGAUCGUAAGACCUCGCGCCUGAAGAGGAGCCCGCGGCGGAUUAGCUAGUUGGUGGGGUAAUGGCCUACCAAGGCAACGAUCAGUA